rnacentral:rRNA from 1 species
GUGCACCAGUCGCGAAACCUCCGCAAUGCGCGAAAGCGUGACGGGGUUACCCCGAGUGCUACCCGCUGAGGGUAGCUUUUGCUCAGUGUAAUGAGCUGGGCGAAUAAGGGGAGGGCAAGUCUGGUGUCAGCCGCCGCGGUAAUACCAGCUCCUCGAGUGGUUGGGACGAUUAUUGGGUCUAAAGCAUCCGUAGCCGGCUGGAUGUUUUCUCCGUUAAAUCCAACGAUCCAAUCGUUGGGCUGCGGAGAAUACUAUCCGGCGUGGGGGCGGGGGAGGUCGGCGGUAUUCCCGGGGUAGGGGCGAAAUCUUAUAAUCCCGGGAGGACCACCAGUGGCGAAGGCGGCCGACUAAAACGCGCCCGACGGUGAGGGACGAAAGCUGGGGGAGCGAACGGGAUUAGAUAUGAAGUUGAGUUUUUACCAGCUUCACUAGAAACCCCGGUAGUCC